AUGAUUGUAGUGACGAAUUUUGUGUGUGAAAUUGCAAGAAUAAUGUGACUUUUCUGUUACAAUUUUUUUUUUCUUUUUAAAAUUGCAUAAUUUUCAUUAGUUGAGUACCAUCACUGAUAUAACUCUUAGAAGAGUGGUUGUGUAUAAAUUUUCUUACCACAAGCAAUGAAUGUGGUCACUUAUUUUUUUUUAAAGCACUUUUCAAAAAACAUUUUUCAUCAUACCAAACACACCCUUGACCUGAUUUUCUUAAUGAAUUCACCAUUAGAUUCUACUUCUUUUAGGCAUGAAUAUUUGAAAUUCACUGGUACAAUCAAUUCAAUGUCAAACGUGUGGCAGAAAGAUUUUUCCUAUCAAAAAGUUCGAACCUGAAAUUUUUGAUUAUCAAGGAAUCUCAACUAUCCCGCUACAUUCCUGAUGUAUUUUAAAUUCUGGUCAGGAAGCGAGUACCAUCCAAGAAAAUAUGAGCAACAACUUCACUUCAUGUUGUUGCUGUUCUACUGUUAAUUCUGCAAUUUCCAUGAUGAUCAGAAUCUAUGUGCAGACAUCCUCCUCAAUAAGGAAAGUUCUUUGUUUAUUACAAUGGUACUCUUAGUUAGAGAGGAUAUUUAACAAAUGCCUGAGCUUUGAACAUGUUUGAUAAAUUAUGUAAGUGAAUGCAAAUAUACGUGGUGAUGGGUGUUGGAUUAGCGGGUUGGAUCAAACUUAGAACUUCUUAAAAUGGAUUGAUUUAAUAACCAGAUAAUGGCCAGUCCUGUAAACAAAAUCAAAAGAAUCUUCUGAAAAUCCAAAUAGGUGAGUAUAUUUAUUUGCUUUAAAGUAAACUGUACAGGAUUUCAGGACCCCCAAACCUCAAUAACUGGAUGCACACUAAUAGGACUUCUUACAGUUUGUUUUCCAUUAUCUUCAACCCGAGUGAUGGAACCAUAAUUUGUAGAAAAUUUCUCAUCACCUCUAUAGCGAAUAGUCAUACUAUAGCUCUUCUUCUCAUAUUUUUUCCCAAAGGCUAAAACUUGUGGUGAUACUGAUAUUCUGGCGUUCUUGGGAGUUUCCACUUUUGCUGUAUAUUUAGCUGUACCUGAACCAGCAUUUGUAACUGUCCUUGUGAAUUUCUUGACAAACCAAGGGAAAUUUUUCUGCUCAAUGUCAGACUCCCAUAGAGCAAUGAAUGAUGGAUAAUUGAGAUCAGCUGAUGGGGUUGAGUAGUUGUGGUAAUUUGCUGAUGAUCUUGCAAAUGUUUUGAACUGAUCUUCGGUGAAAUUCAUAGAGCAUAUAAGAUUUAUGUAAUCUUGUGUAGUAGCAUCAUAUAUUAGUCCUGGAUCAAGAGCUCGAUUUGGAUCAAUGAACCCUGCUCCCAUGUCUAGGGGUGUGGCUGGUUCGUUGGUAUCAGAGGCUAUGAUUUGGUCUCUAGUGUUAUCCAACGGGUUGGCAGUGGUCAUCAUUGCUGAUUUAAUAGCUGAUGGACUCCACUCAGGGUGUACAGAUUUUAGCAUUGCAGCAAUUCCAGAUGCAUGAAGACAAGCCAUGGAUGUGCCUGAUUGAAGAAUGUAGUCACUCUCCAAAUCUAUAUUAUGACCAACACGAGUUGCAGAUUUAUCAGGCAGUCUCGGCACCCAAAAUUAGUACCCCUGGUGUCAUUAAAUCAGGCUUUGUGAUUCCAAGAUAGCUUCUAGAGGGUUCUCUACUGGAUGAUACGGCUAGUUUGGGCGCAGGCUUGACAUCUACAUACGUCUCUUGAAAACUUAUGCUCACCGAAGGGUGUUCUGUUUUUGGUACGUAAUUUAUCACUUGUUUACCUUCCUUUGGGCCGAUCACAAUUCCAGGAGUUGGGAAGUUUUUGGAAGUGAGUGCUCUUGGAUCCGAAGAAAUGAAGAUACCUACCCGAAAUCUGACCUCCAUUACAGUGCGCAUUUGAGAGAGCAAUCCAUCUGAACCAUCACAGAUGAUGACUUCAUAGUUGGGAAUGUUGGGAGAAUGAACUUGGGAUAACAACUCAAUCGAAUUGCAAGAAGAGAGGGUCUUGUUAUAUAUCAAAGUUGAAUCCUUGACAAGCGCACUCAAUGGAAACAAACUCCACCCCCUCAUCUUUUGCCCAUUGGCUAGAGUUAGAGUCCCUGCAAAGGUUCGAUCUGUUGUACCAGGUGCAAUGGUCAUGAUCCACGCGUCUCCAUUGCCAAGAGUCCCAAAAUCUGGCCCACUAUGUCCAGCAGAAGCAGAAACUAAGAUGCCCUUCAUCAUGGCACCAAAAGUCGCAAUUGCUAUAGUAUCUUCAUAUAAUGGAAUAUGACGGAAUCCACUAGAAAUCGAUAUUAUGUCUACUCCAUCUGCAACAGCCUGAUCCAUACCAGCAAUCACAUCUGCAGUUGAGGUUGAAAAUUCGGGCCAUGAUAUUUUGUAAAUAGCCAACCUAGCACGGGGAGCUACUCCCUUUGCAGUUCCCGUGGCGUAUCCGAAGUAGGAAACACCAUGGACAUAAUUUCCUGCAGCAAGUGAGGCUACAUGUGUGCCGUGACCGAAAGUAUCUCGGGCAGAAUUCAUGGCUAUAUUUGCUCUAGGAUCAGCAGCUAAAGCUCCCUUAUUGAAAUAAUUAACCCCAAUGAGUUUUCUGUUACACAAUGAAGAGUUGAAAUCUGUGCCUGUUCGGCAAAUUCCCUUCCAUCUUUUCGGGAUUUCAGGCAUGCCAUCAUCCCUAAAGCUAAGCGACUCAGGCCAUAUUCCUGUGUCUACGAUGCCAAUGAUGACAUCUUGGCCAAAAUUAGAAGCUGGCCAAAGACCAAAGGAAGGAUUGAGCUUAAGGAACUCAGGGGUAUGUGUAGUGUGGAGUUCAACAGGUACGUCUUUAUAAGCUGAAACAAAUCCUGGAGACCUUUUCAAAGCUUGUAGCUCAUCUUUAGAAAAAACAGCACUUAAGCCAUGAAAUACAUUGUCAAGAAUAUAGAAGCUUUGAAGCAGAAUGAUAUUGGUCAGUAGAAGAAUCAGAGAUUUUGAUGGAAUCAAUAGUGGAAGAAUGCCAUUGAUGGUAACUAGUAAAGACUUUAGGCAAGAAAUACUUAUCCAAGUGGACAAUAUAUGUUGUUCUCUCUGCUACACA